rnacentral:tRNA from 1 species
GGUGAUUUAGCUCAGUGGUAGAGCGCUUGCCUAGCAAGCACAAGGCCCUGGGUUCGGUCCCCAGUGCCG